AACGAACGCUGGCGGCAUGCCUAACACAUGCAAGUCGAACGAGACCUUCGGGUCUAGUGGCGCACGGGUGCGUAACGCGUGGGAACCUGCCCUUAGGUUCGGAAUAACUCCCCGAAAGGGGUGCUAAUACCGGAUAAUGUCUUCGGACCAAGGAUUUAUCGCCUUUGGAUGGGCCCGCGUUGGAUUAGCUAGUUGGUAGGGUAAAAGCCUACCAAGGCGACGAUCCAUAGCUGGUCUGAGAGGAUGAUCAGCCACACUGGGACUGAGACACGGCCCAGACUCCUACGGGAGGCAGCAAUGGGGAAUAUUGGACGAUGGGCGAAAGCCUGAUCCAGCAAUGCCGCGUGAGUGAGGAAGGCCUUAGGGUUGUAAAGCUCGUUUACCCGGGAUGAUAAUGACAGUACCGGGAGAAUAAGCUCCGGCUAACUCCGUG
rnacentral:rRNA from 1 species